UACGUAGGGCGCAAGCGUUGUCCGGAAUUAUUGGGCGUAAAGAGCUCGUAGGCGGCUCGUCACGUCGGCUGUGAAAACCCGGGGCUCAACCCCGGGCCUGCAGUCGAUACGGGCGAGCUAGAGUUCGGCAGGGGAGACUGGAAUUCCUGGUGUAGCGGUGAAAUGCGCAGAUAUCAGGAGGAACACCGGUGGCGAAGGCGGGUCUCUGGGCCGAUACUGACGCUGAGGAGCGAAAGCGUGGGGAGCGAACAGG
rnacentral:rRNA from 1 species